CCUACGGGAGGCAGCAGUGGGGAAUAUUGCACAAUGGGGGAAACCCUGAUGCAGCGACGCCGCGUGAGUGAAGAAGUAUUUCGGUAUGUAAAGCUCUAUCAGCAGGGAAGAAAAUGACGGUACCUGAGUAAGAAGCCCCGGCUAACGACGUGCCAGCAGCCGCGGUAAAACGGAGGGGGCAAGCGUUAUCCGGAUUUACUGGGUGUAAAGGGAGCGUAGACGGUGAUGCACGUACGAAGUGAAAGCCCGGGGCUCAACUCCGGGACUGCUUUUGAAACUGGGUGACUGGCGUGCAGGAGAGGUAAGCGGAAUUCCUGGUGUAGCGGUGAAAUGCGUAGAUAUCAGGAGGAACACCAGUGGCGAAGGCGGCUUACUGGACUGUAACUGACGUUGAGGCUCGAAAGCGUGGGGAGCAAACAGGAUUAGAUACCCCGGUAGUC
rnacentral:rRNA from 1 species